UCCUGGGCGGGUGCAGCACCGCCCCCGCAGCCCUGCUGUGUGGAGGAGCGGCUCGGCGAGGGAGGGGAGGUGCCAGCAAGGUGAGAAGGGUCUUUUGCUCCUUUAUUAUUCUGCAAAGGGCGCUCAGGGCUUGGUGCUCUUCUCCAGAAGUGGGAUAUUGCAUUGGGAAGGGAGACUGGAGAGCCUGGCCUGGCGGGGUAGGGACCUGGGCAGUGUACCAGGACAGGGGAGGCUCAGAAUUUGGAACCACUGUGGUUAGAGAGUGUCCCUGUAUCAAUGUCCAAAAUACUUGAGUCUCACAAUUGCUAUUGCAUUUUUUAAAACCUUUUUUUUCUCUGUAUCACUACAGCCAGAGUGAGGACUCUGGUGGUAGCUGAGGGGCGCAGGCAGCAGGGACUGGCGCUGUUUGCCCUGCACAUCCCACACUGGUGAGCCAGCCAGCCCAGCGUGUCCAUCUGCCACCACAGCCCAGGGACCAGCACCAGCCGUGGGCCUCAGGGUGUAACUGCCCUUCCUGAGGCCCGGGCCAUUCCUCCAGGCAGCCAUGGACUGUACAGCUGAGGACUGUGUUGCCUUUGUAGGAAAGGCUUGCAGCUGUGGCUCAUUGGCUGCUGGCUGAGCUCUCCUCACUGAUUUGAGCACUGCAGUACCUUCCCUGCAUGCCCUUCUAUUGCAAAGACAAGUGCAAGAAGGGCAGCGGACAGGCAGGCAUGUGGCCAGAGACUGCACUCCCCUGCUGUGAGUAAAGUGACAAAAUCACAUACACCACCUCACCCCUUCCACCCAAAGCAGGACCCCACAUGCCAUAUCCUAGCCUUUGAACUCAUUAGUCUUGAUGCAGUUUCACAUGCACAAACCCAGAACUUUGUUACUAAACUGAAAUCAUGUGCGCAGGCUGUUCCUAAAGAAAUGCCAGUCAUCUACCCAAGUAAAAGUCUGAAUUGCUAACUGCUCGCUGGCCUAAGCAUAAACAUGAAUUGAGGUUCAGGAAAAGGAGGUGUUUGUUCCUGGCUCAGCUCAGUAGCUUCUAGUCACCAUCUGCAAAUCUCUUAGAUAUUCCAUAAAUAGCAGAUUACUAUUCUUUAACUCUUUUGCCAGUAGUGCAGGGCAGAAGUGCUGGAGAUUCACAUGACCUAAAUGAAGUUUUCUGUUUGAUUGAGGCCGCGGAUUUAGGUUUGUUUAUUUUGAGAUUAGUUCUUGCACUUUAGGUGUUUAACUUUAAAACUGUGCUAUGGCAGGUGUUGGCUCUGACUGCAGCUAGAAAAACCCAGUUCCUCUCCGGAUAUUACAGGGAAAUCAGUUUGAAGAUUUUAAUUUUUUGACGUAUACAGGUUUUUACUAGGAGGCACAGCACUGUGCAAGACUACACAAAUAUAUAUUAAGGCUUGGUACUACCAUGAAAAAUGUACAGAAUAGGACUACAACAAAUAGUUAUGAACCACAGACACUUAAAAAUGAAAAAACACUGCUGCAGUCUAAUUCUUGCCUAACAUUACAGGAUUCAAAUCUAAAAUGAAACAGAUUCUAGGUGUCUAAGUCUAAGGGAAGAACCAAAAAUCUGAGCUUGGUGCCAGCUAGGGCUCUAUGCUACAGAGUGAUUGUGAACACUUGUUUGACUAGUAUAGACAAAACCUGUGUAUAAUCAGGGAAGACACGGUGCCACAAUCAAACAUCCCAGAUCCUUAUCUUGCCCCCUUCAACUUAAUUCCAUAAUUAGCACUUAGAUCACAGAGAGGUUGGAACUAUUAUCCAGGCCUCUCCUUCAGCAUUACACUAUCUCAGACAAGUCUCUGCCUGUAAGGAUUUGCUUUCUUUAAAACUUUCACCCAGUCCCAUGGUUAACUUGACUUAAGUCAGCAAACUGCCAACAAAACUCUGAAAUUUAGAAAUAGCUUAAGCUCAGCCCAUUUCUGCCUUCAGAUCAGUUGGUUUUACAGUUCCCAAGCGCCAUCAUUCUGCAUCCAGCUGGCAUCCAUUUGACUACAUUUGCUGCUGCUGGGGGGGCAGGAACCAACCACCCUCGUUGCUGAGUCUUAUCCUGUAAAUUCGGCUAAAACAAACUAGUGCACGCCAUCUCGUGGCCCUGCACUGCUAUUUCCCGGGAACGAAGGGAGCUCCGAUUGCGGCGAGGUUUGAUGUGGACAGGAUUUAAAAGAUGGCUUUCAGAGGCUCAGACACAGCCCCACCUUCUGAUCCACUCUCCCCCAGCUAAGAAAUGUUCACCAUUAGUGCUUUGUCCACACUCCUGCCUUGACCUUGCAGCCCAAGCAGCUGUUUCCUGGAGCAGCAGCAGAGCAUCCGACUGCAGAAGGCACUUCAGCACAUGCUGAUAUGGCUGUCACCUCAUGUUUUGAGGCAACCCUGUCCUCAAAACACAUCAGGGUGCCCGUGCACACAGCCCCAGACCAGCUUUUGGUGGAGCAGGAAAUUACCGUAUUACAUUUUAGAGUAUGUAAAUAAUUUUUAAUUACAUGCGAGGCUGGGGAUGUUCAUGGUACAUCCAUUUUCAUUUGCUGUCAGGACUUGUUAAAGAACUCCAUGUGUCAGUGCUUUAAAGCUAAUGUGCCUUUUCCUAACUGUUCAUUAACAGCUGAAUAUAUGAACUCAUGAAAAUAAGGUUACAUCAGCUGCCAGUCCUUUGGUGUAGCUUAAGUUCCUAUUCCUCCUUACUCUCUCUCUUUUGGUGGGAAAAUCAAGUCAUUAAGAGACCCUUGCCAGAGGUAAUUAAGGUACAAUUUCAUCACAUCAAGUUGAGGGAAUUAGAUAAAGAGGGACAGAGUACAACAGUAUGACUUCAAGGCCUGUGUUUUCAUUUUAAGUAAUAAAUGUUCAACUUUGCAAUGUUUAUGACUUUUUAGCUGAGAGAUUACAGCUUAAAACUGCACCACUGAAUCAUCUCCAAAUCUGAAGUCACAUUUUCUUCAGUAGAAUUGCUGAUGGUAACACUGCCUUACUUCCACUGCUCUCGUAGCUGUCAAAAUGCUGGAUUUAUAGUCAGCAGCAAGAGACUUAAAAUAGCUAACAGAAAUGUUAAACUUCAGACUAAGCAUCUUCUUUUGUCUGCUACUAGAGACAAGUGCACAAGACCUAUGACAGUUUGCAGCUUGCUGUUGCAAAGCAUAGAAUCGUGCCAGAGAACACUGUGCCAUACUGCAAGAACAAAAACUUCUACCCAAGGACUCUAGUUAAAAACAUCUGAUCACAAUCAGCAACUGCUCUAAAUUUGGUUUGUGAUAAACAUUUUCACUCUUCUUGCGUUGGAAGUGUGUUGGAACAAAGCUGCAGGAAAGGCUGUUAGACUUGUGAGGCUCAAUGAAGUUUGAUACCAACAUACUUUCUCUGUUGGAGGAAAGAAAAGAGGGAACAUCCUUCUUCUCAUGUCAAGGUUUAAUUCUGAGGUAUACGACACUGGAUUUACAAAGGUAAAUAAAAAUACAUUCUGAGAAACAACAAGUGCCCUACUUAGCAAGGCAGAGGGAUUUCACACUCCAAGCAGCUGAGAAAGGAAACUGCUUACAGUAUGAAAAAGUAUUUGGGGUCUGUCUUUGACAUGGGCUUUUGCCAUAACAGAUUAUGAGAAAUGCACAGCAGUGGGGCAGAGGAGAGACAAAUACUUAGGUGAUAAAGAGAAGACAGGACAACAGGUAUUAGAUAAGGCUUCCACUUGAACAAAUUAUUUGAGACAUUACCAUUAUGAUCAGAAGUCAGAUGCAACUACUGUUCCAAACACUGCUCAGGCAAGCUACAUUGCCAAAAUUAAUUACACAGCUGUUGAGACAGACUUCAGCUCGAGCCUGCUGAUGAUAGGGGUAAGUUUGCAUAUGCUUGUAGCAACCACAUACAAAUGAAAUCUCAGUAAUACAGAAGGACUGGAGUGCUACAGAAGAGUUUUCCACAUCAACUGUAUUUGGUAACAAAAGCAAAUGCUAGCACCUGGAGUACAGUGCACAUAACAGUUUCUACAAGUGUAUCAUCUACAGUUAAUCUGCAAUUUUUGUCCUAAAUAUGAAUUUAAAAAGCCAAGUAUGAAUCAUAUGCAGGCAGAUUUAAUGACUCAUUGCCGCAAUAGAUUUAACCACAAGUGCUGAUCCUGCCUGCCAUUAAGAUGUCUGGCAUUCCCUCUUGGAUCCAUUCCUCUGGAAGGUGGCCCUUUCACAGAUCUGUGAUCCAGAGAGCUAAGCUUAAAGAAUUAAAAAAAAAAAAAAGAUAUUUUGUCACACAAGGAAUAAAAUUCCAGGAAUUUAUUGCUAUAUGUAUGCUUAAUCCAUUAAGUCAUCUUACAGUAGUCAUGAAGUGCCAAAUUGUGUGCUACAUUUAACAUUCCAUGUAUUCCCUUCCCAAUGCUGUUUUACAGUGGGCGUAUGAAACAACUCAGCAGUGGUCACGAAACAUGGCUUGAGCAUCUCUCAAGAGCUUAAAGACAAAGAUUUGUGUACAAGCUGAAUAACAGCAUGUCAGUUAACAGGCCACUCAGCAAUUUGAACAGAAAUAUCUUUAGGUGGAAGUUUUGCAGCGUUAAAAUUCACAACUCAGACUAAACAUUCUCAUCCCCACUGCAGAAACAAGAUACUUGCAAAGAACAAGAACUAUGGUACGUAAAUGUCACACGCAGGACCCGCUCCAUUGCUGUCAGAAGCACAAGUUGCUAAUUAUAAGCAAGGACAAGCCUGGCAGGGUAAGGCUGUCAGCCUGUAUUAAAAACAUAUACCUCAGAGUUUGGCAGUGGAACUCUGUUUACCACCUUGACUUUUUUUUGGUAACAUACAAGUUCUUCCUCCCCCCCCCCCCUUUAUAAAUCCCCUUUUAUUUUUAUUAUACCUCCAUAUUAUUUACAGGACUUCUAAAGAUUAAGUACAAACUAGUAUGAAAUUAAUGAUAGCUUGCUUUUCAAAUAUGUAUCCCAUGGCUAAAUAAAUACCAAGCCAAUCCAACAGAGUGAUCUGGAGUUAUGAUUCAGAAGCUUGUACAUCUGUGAUUCCAGUUGUUUUUUCAUUAGCUGCAGAGGAUUCAUUUGAUCUGUCAACAAUAGUUGCCCUGGAGGUUGGGGUAGCACUAUCCAAGGUGAGUGCAGAGGUCUCCUCUACAUUUUCAGGAGUGCCAGGGUUGAUGGAAAAGCUUCCAGCUUGAGUGAUAGAGGGAAGCAAAUCUGUAGGCACUGUAGAUGCCUCUGUGACCAAAGGAAGCAUAGGAACACACUUGGGUGGCAUUGACAGAGGUGUUAU